rnacentral:rRNA from 1 species
GAUGAACGCUGGCGGCGUGCCUAAUACAUGCAAGUCGAGCGAACGGACGAGAAGCUUGCUUUUCUGAUGUUAGCGGCGGACGGGUGAGUAACACGUGGAUAACCUACCUAUAAGACUGGGAUAACUUCGGGAAACCGGAGCUAAUACCGGAUAAUAUUUUGAACCGCAUGGUUCAAAAGUGAAAGACGGUCUUGCUGUCACUUAUAGAUGGAUCCGCGCUGCAUUAGCUAGUUGGUAAGGUAACGGCUUACCAAGGCAACGAUGCAUAGCCGACCUGAGAGGGUGAUCGCCCACACUGGAACUGAGACACGGUCCAGACUCCUACGGGAGGCAGCAGUAGGGAACCUUCCGCAAUGGGCGAAAGCCUGACGGAGCAACGCCGCGUGAGUGAUGAAGGUCUUCGGAUCGUAAAACUCUGUUAUUAGGGAAGAACAUAUGUGUAAGUAACUGUGCACAUCUUGACGGUACCUAAUCAGAAAGCCACGGCUAACUACGUG